CAUUUGGUCUCUUUACAUAAUCCCCUAUUUCUCCGAGGUUUUGUUCAUUUAUUUUUCUUCUUUUCUCCGUAUUCUUGUCUGACUGUCUUAGAAAGGCAGCCAUCAAGCUCUCAGAUUCUUUCCUCCACUUGGUCUAUUCUGCUACUAAAACUUCAGCUCAGCCCAGUUCAGAACUCCUGCUGGAGAGAUGAUUCAGCUGUUUGCAAGAAAAAAGGCCCUGUGACUUUUCUAGAGUAUAAAGAAGAGGAUGAAGGCUUAAGCAGGAAACUUUGACAGUUCCAAAGAUCUUAAUCCUUAUAAAGAAGUAAUGAAGUUUCAACUUUGCACUCAGAUAUGGUGGGACAGUGAGCCCGGCAGCACUCCACUCACUGCCUGACUCAUGGUAAUCUAGGAGAGGCCACUGGACACUGAGGAAGUAAAAACUUGGUUUUCAAGAAACCUUUGCAACUUUAACAUAGUAUUUUGAGGAGUAAAAGUGACACUUGGAAAAAGCCAUCCAUGAGAACCAACUCCCCACAAACUGAUCAGAUGUCAGGACUGCGACUUUUCUUCAGAGAGAGCAAAACUAUGGGUUAAGAUGUGUUUGGAAGGCAGAAAUCUGACUGAGAGUCUGUCAUGAGCAGCAGAUGUACAGGAGAAUGAUUCACAAGAAGACCUCCUUUCUGUGCAUUGAACAUCUAUCCACAGAGCACAUCUUCAUUACUAGGGGAGAGCAUCCAUCAGCCGACAUGAUGGUGGCAGCACGGUCACACCUGAGGUGCAGCUUCAGAAAGGAGAGCUUUUCAACAGUUAGAUUAUUACAGGGCCCAACUAAAUGCCUCAAAUUCCCAGGAAUGUAGAUAAUAACAAUUAUGCCUAUCUCUUUUCCUCACAGACAAAAAGGUAACCUAGGUUGCAUAAUUAUAUAAAAUUCCAAAAUAAUAAUUUGAAAUAUACAGGACACUUCAAAUAAUAUAUCUACAUGUUUUGAAUCAUCUUCCUAAAGCCCAAAUAUUGUUGUGUACCCAGGCACAGUAGGGAGCUGAUCAUUACAAGUGACAGCAACAUUUUAAAAUUAUGAAUCUUAAGAAUAUUUAAAUAAAUUUAUAGCAACUAAUAAAAUUGAAAGCAAAAUGUAUACUAACUUAUAUUUUGUUAGCAGGUAUUUGUCUUUGAAAACUGUUUGUUUAUUAGCAAAUUUAAAUUAUGUAAAAUUUUGCAUGUAUAUCUUAAGAUGGCAGAUAUAUCUUGAGGUCAUAUUAUUCCCCUAGAUUGCAGGUAGAGUCAAAUAUCCAUUUUUUUGUUGGCUUCUCAUCCUACUGACUUUGCGCUAACUUGACUUCUAUUUAUUAUUUAAAUUAAAAAUGCAAUGGAAAUUCCAUGAUGGGAAUUACUUCCCAUUGUUAGAUUUAAGUUUCAGUCAGCAGAAUCUCUCAUUUUCAUCAAGAAAUUUUUUAAAUGCGUGGGCACAAUAUUCCUAUUCUUUCUUUUAAAAACUCAACUCCUGCACUUCAGCUUAAGUAACAGAGUUAAGACCCUGUCUUAAAAAAACAAAACAAAACAAAAUAAAACUCUACUCCAUCAUAAUUUUGUGAGUGAAUCUACAUCAGCUUAUUGCUUCAGAACAUAUAAUGUUUCUACCAUCAAGAUUAGCUAGACUGAAUUUGGCCAAUUCAGUGCAGCAUUCUCUGCUGAGUUUAAUUCAAUUAUGGGUAAGAAUUCAGUCACAGUCUUGGAAAAAAUGACAAGAAAAUCUUCUGAUUUUGUAGGAUAAAAACAUGCUUUUGAAAAAUACACACUACAUUUUCUACCUCCUUCCUUUAUAGUUAACUCAGGCUCUACUUAAAUCCAUUAUAUUUUAUUUUUUGCCUGAUUAUUAUACUAACAAUUUUUUCUUUUGAAUAUUGCCCGCAGAAUUAUUUCUGAAUUUAUUUCGAUGCUGAUAUGCCACAAAGAAGGGAUCACACUGAUUGUGCUGCAAAGUAAAAGAAAAAAGUAAGCAUAAAUGACCCCUUAUUGAGCUUUUAAUAUGGCCUAGUGCCCUUGCUCUGCUACACGUUUCUCUCCAAGCCAUAUGAGGAGUCCACUCUAUGUAAGAACACAUGGAGGUGAAUUAUAUGAAAUCAGGAGUUUAGACUAAGCAAGAGACAAAAUCAUGAGAAAUGAAUAAUUGCUCUUCUUUCUAAGUAAACAAAAAACAAUAAAUGUUACCAAGGUUAUCUCUCUUUCCUUAAAGUUAUAUUUGAUCUAUUAUUACCAGUUAUUAGCAUACUUCUGAUAUAAACUGGUUUUCCUUUCAGAGAAGCAUAAUCAUUGGAGGAAAUGUUUGUCUUUGGGAAAAAAAAGAAAAAAACGGAAAGUUGUACUUCAGGAAAAAAUUAGUCCUCAGAAAAAGGGAACAAUAUGUUUGCAUUUUUGGCUAUAGUUUCAGCUUAUGUACAUGUUUCUGCUUACCUUCUUGAAGGAGAAACAAGUUAUUCAAUGCUAUGUAUGAAUCAAAGAUCAGAUUACUCAGAAUCCUGAAAAAGAAAUUGUGACUGUACAUAUUCUUUAUCCAUUUUUAGUAAAUGCAUGUAUUUUUAUAGUAAUGCAUCCUGAUCUGUUGCCAUUCAAUGUUUAUUGUACAAUUUACAGAUAUAAUCACCACAGGUUUUGUGAGAUUGACAUGCAAUCUAAAAAUAAAUGAUUCAUGGAUGAGUGUUCAAGAUGGGUGACUAGAUGCAGCUGAGACACACCUUUUUCAUGCAGAGGAACCAAAAUAUUGAGUAGUUAUUCACACUACAAAUAGACCAUCAGAGAAAGAACACUGGAAUUCAACAGAGAAGCAACAGGAGACACCAAGGAUGAGGAAAGGGGAUGCAAGGCUGCCUGUUCAGCGGGAUUGCUAGGAACUGGAAGCAGCCCCUUGACCCAGGGAAGAGGAGAGGUGCCCCCAUGGUCAAAACUGGGAAGACAAUGUGGCGCAGGUUCCUGCUGCAACAGUGGAGCUUAGCACCCCUUCCUUCACAAGACUGGACUGGGAAAGGUAGAGCCUGAAAGCUGCGCUUUCUGCCCCAGGAAUGGAGUCUCACAGCCUGAGAUAGCUUCAUGAUCUGAAUGCAGACUGCUUGGGACAGGGCUAGCUGUUUUGGUCUGCUGCCAGCAGCUAGACACUGAAGGGAGACCCACUGGCUUGGGGGCUUGUGUGGGUCCCACUAGCACCUGGUGGACUGUGGCUUCUUGGCAAGCCAUGUCCCCAGAGCAGCCUCUUGAGCACAAUAAAAGUGACUUAACCACCCUGGAAAUUUGCCCCAGAGGCCUGAAAGUUGUUUCCUAACCAUUCAGGGUCAGCAAUUGUGCCUGCCAUUGGAAAGCCUGGACAGAGGCUUGCCCAACCCAGUUGUGCCCAGCUUUGCCCUCUCCACCUAUCUUGGUGUCAGAGCAUGGAAUGAGACUGGUGAGCAUUCCAUGGCCUCACCCAUUGCCCAGACAUCUGAGUACUUCUGAUUAUCAAAAGCCAGGCAUAAAUCCCACUGGGAUCACUGCAGCUGCCUCUCUCCUGCAAGCACCACCUCAUGGCUGGGAGGUCAAUCUGUACAGCCCAUUACAACCUCAGCUGACACAAUACAUAGCACUUGGCUUCUUCUUACCUGCAGUGUCACCUACUGGCCUGGAUAUCAAAAUGCACAACCUAAUAAAAUUGCUAACAGAAGUGCACAGCACUGGAGAACAAGAUAAUCUUUCCAACACCCCCACCCCACCAUAUCUGCAAGAGGCAGUAAGCCUACUCACAUACCCAGCACACUGCUACUGCAACCUAAAAAAAAAAAAAAACAGAA